rnacentral:rRNA from 14 species
GUCUUUGGCCACCCCAACAUGAAGGCACCUGAUCUCAGAAGCUAAGCAGGGUCAAACCUGGCUAGUACUUGGGUGGGAGAAUGAAGGAGUAAGACU